CUCCUGAAGAGUGGUUGAGCUUGUGUUGCCCCUUACCAUAAGAUGCUAAGGAAAAACAGUUAUGUGAUCAUAAUGAAAAUGUGAUGGCCUUAAGCUGCCCUCUCUGCAGCGUCCAGUGGUUUGGAAUAUGUGCUUGGAACAUUAAUGGGACAAAAACAGGACCUGUCAGUUAACUGUUGGAGGAAACUAAAAAGAGGUGGCAAGUGUCACACACAGAUGAGGCCAGCGUCCUCAGUGCAGUCAUUGACCCCCGCUUAAACCAAUUAAAUUGGCAGUCUGACCAAAAAAAGGAACAGGGUCAGCAUCGGGCAACUCCACAGAAGAGGAUCUGAUUCAGAAGAAAGAGAAGAAAAUGGAAAUCAAUAAAAUGUAAC